rnacentral:rRNA from 1 species
AUUGAACGCUGGCGGCAGGCCUAACACAUGCAAGUCGAGCGGCAGCACGGGUACUUGUACCUGGUGGCGAGCGGCGGACGGGUGAGUAAUGCCUAGGAAUCUGCCUGGUAGUGGGGGAUAACGCUCGGAAACGGACGCUAAUACCGCAUACGUCCUACGGGAGAAAGCAGGGGACCUUCGGGCCUUGCGCUAUCAGAUGAGCCUAGGUCGGAUUAGCUAGUUGGUGAGGUAAUGGCUCACCAAGGCGACGAUCCGUAACUGGUCUGAGAGGAUGAUCAGUCACACUGGAANUGAGACACGGUCCAGACUCCUACGGGAGGCAGCAGUGGGGAAUAUUGGACAAUGGGNGAAAGCCUGAUCCAGCCAUGCCGCGUGUGUGAAGAAGGUCUUCGGAUUGUAAAGCACUUUAAGUUGGGAGGAAGGGCAUUUACCUAAUACGUAAGUGUUUAACGUUACCGACAGAAUAAGCACC